GAUGAACGCUGGCGGCGUGCCUAAUACAUGCAAGUCGAGCGAACGGACGAGAAGCUUGCUUCUCUGAUGUUAGCGGCGGACGGGCGAGUAACACGUGGAUAACCUACCUAUAAGACUGGGAUAACUUCGGGAAACCGUAGCUAAUACCGGAUAAUAUUUUGAACCGCAUGGUUCAAAAGUGAAAGACGGUCUUGCUGUCACUUAUAGAUGGAUCCGCGCUGCAUUAGCUAGUUGGUAAGGUAACGGCUUACCAAGGCAACGAUGCAUAGCCGACCUGAGAGGGUGAUCGGCCACACUGGAACUGAGACACGGUCCAGACUCCUACGGGAGGCAGCAGUAGGGAAUCUUCCGCAAUGGGCGAAAGCCUGACGGAGCAACGCCGCGUGAGUGAUGUAGGUCUUCGGAUCGUAAAACUCUGUUAUUAGGGAAGAACAUAUGUGUAAGUAACUGUGCACAUCUUGACGGUACCUAAUCAGAAAGCCACGGCUAACUACGUG
rnacentral:rRNA from 1 species